GACGAACCGUACGAACGUUAUUCGGAAUCACUGGGCUUAAAGGGUGCGUAGGCGGCGCAGAAAGUUGGGUGUGAAAUCCCUCGGCUCAACCGAGGAACUGCGCCCAAAACUACUGUGCUCGAGGGAGACAGAGGUGAGCGGAACUUAGGGUGGAGCGGUGAAAUUCGUAGAUAUUCGCAAGAACACCAGUGGCGAAGGCGGCUCACUGGCCCGAUACUGACGCUGAGGCACGAAAGCGUGGGGAGCAAACAGG
rnacentral:rRNA from 1 species